UGGGGGUGCAGCUGUCCUGACCAGAUCUAACCAUGCUGAGGCUGGAAGAGUCAUGGUUGAAAGUCCCCUCCCAGACUGAAAGAGCUGGUGAAGCAGGGGAAGAAAAGUUACGGGCCCUCAUUCCAUUCUGGAACCACUUUAUCUGAAAAAAAUGAAAGAAAGAAAAGAAAAGGAAGUUAUAGGCUUCAUGUUUCAUUUCCACAUUCUAGAUGUGGUCAGCAGCUGCAUCGUAGAAGGACAGGAUAUGGAAGCCACACACUGGCUGCGCCAUUCUGCAUCUGAGCAAGAUUCUCCUAGCAAAAUAAAGAUUCAUUCUUGAAACAGCCAGGGACUGUGCUGUACUGUCUGUUCCCAGGAGGACUGAAGGGGAAAUUAGUCAUCUGCCAAGGAGCCAUAGGAAGGAAGAUGAUAAACUCAAGGAAAAAGAGUCACAUGUCUUUUUUUGUCCUUACUUCUAAACCCGAGUGUACUCUUGACAAAAGUAAUGCAGCAGCCAGGAGUUUUGAAUACAGGAGGGACAUAAAGUGCCUGUUAAAUGCGACCAUUGAUCUUACUUCCCUCCUUUCUAAUGGAGUAUUACAUCUUUAUUUUUAAGUUUGCACAUCAGAUGAGGUAAACUGGAGAGUGGUAUCUGUAUAGUGCUGCAGAGAAACGUGAAAAAAUGAGCUACACCUAACGUUGUCUGGAGCCCUUGCUACAGACCCACCCCAUAAUUUGGCAGCCAGGCAGAGAAGGGCUGUACCCACCCUUGCUAGGGGCACAGUUUCGCCAUUAUAGCUCUGUAGAUAAGAUAUGUAUUUAUUUCCUAGAUUAUUCCUAAUGAUAGUGGGAAAAUCUCUGAAACUUUCCAGGAUCUAAGAGAUACUUAGACUGCUGCUUACACUCGAGCAAGCCUCUUCAUUACUGGCUCUUCCACUGUUUCAUGCCUUCCCUCAGAGUUGGCCCUUUCAAUCACUUUUGUAUUGUUUGUUGGUUUUUGAAUGACAGCAUUGUGGGUUUUAUUUUCCUUCUGAAGAAACUGCACUUAUGAAUUAAGUGCAAAAAUCUCAGUGUAAGUCAGACUCAUGAUUCCCAUGAGCUUGUAGUUUUGGCAGUAUUGGUGACUUUGGAAGAGAUCAGAGACUUCUCAAGUCUUUAAUAUAUAACUACUAAUUAGAUACUGCUGCAAUUAAAUCUAAAUCAAGAUCUGCUGUCUAAGCUAUUUAGCUCUGUUAAGACAGUUUAGCCACCAAAUAAACCUGCUUUGGUGUUAGACCCAAACAACCACAUCACAAAGAUUCAAGAAAGCUUCUAGGAUCAUCGCUUCAGCGUUACAUCUGAAAAAUAAAUCUAAAUGUGCACUAUUCAUCCUGUUCUGAUGAAAUCAGCAUGAGCCUGAGCAGGCAGCACUUCUCACAGACCAAGGGCUGAAUAUUUGCUUUCCAGAUUUAACAGCACUUCAGACAAAAGUCAUUUUUUAAGCAGAUAGUUAUAAUCUGAGGCGAGAAACAUGAGAUGACGAUUAAGGCUGGCUGGAGCACAAGAACAAACAUUCUGUCAUGAUGCUGCUGAAGCGCUCCAGAAAUAGCCCCCAUUCUGAUAUUUUCAGAGCACAUAUUUGUGCGUGCACUCUAUUAGGUCUGCUACUAAUUUGGUCAAAGUUAGUCGUGUUAAUUAUCUGUCAGUUUGGGAUGGUAAUUUUGACAACUGCUGAACAGUUUCUUCCUCAGAGUCCUCGUGAUCAUCUUCAAUGAUCUAAUCUAAUGUAUUGUCUUGAAACUGAAAUGCUUCAAGCCAGCAUUAACCACAUAAAUAAAUACAAAGCAAUAAUGUGACAUUUCCUGACAAGUGGUGGCAAAGUUUGCUUUUACAGUGGCUGUGAGAAUUAAAGCUUUUAGGAAAUGAGCACAUGUACUGUUAUCAGCUGUCAGACUUUUCUCUUUAGUCUCGCACCAUGUUUUCUUUUUUCCCCCCCGUAAAGACUUGUUGUUGAGGUUAAGAUUAUGCAAGAAUUCCACCUUUUAUUUUCUUUGCUGUUAAUAAUUCUCAUGUUUAUGAGGUAAUUCUCAUGGCUAUCUCAUGUUAGUUCUCAAAAAAAAAAAAGUGAUUGUAACCCAUAAUACAUUGAAAUAAAAAUCAGUGCUUGAUGUUUUCUUAGCUUCUGAUGUAGAGAACUGACUUUUAUAACUGUUCACUCUAUCCGGGACUGCACAUGACUGCACAGGCACUAAGAUAGCAGAGAAGCCGAAGUGGGAAGGAAGAUUUCUAGCAAAUUUCACAGUUUCCAGUGUUUAUAUUCCUCUGUGUGCAUUUUUAAUAACAGGUAUCACUAAUUUUUUAGGUUAAAAUAAAGUGGAUAAAGUUGGAAAAACACAUUCCCAAGAAUUCCACUGAAAGUUUGUUUGGCAUUUCAAGUCACUUAUCUCACAAGCACUCACCUGUGACAGACCACUGUGACUACUAAUUUAUGUCCCCAGCCUGUUUUACAUUAGCUUGUCCUUUUCUGACUUCAAUAACAAUUGUUUAUUUAGCUUGUGGCAGAUGUGCCACGCUUGAGGAUUAAAAAAAUAGAAGUUCCCCCUCCACACCCUCAGCCAGGUGUCCUGCAUUGAGGUUGUUUAUUCUGAGCAACAUCGUUAGGUUCUUUUAUUUGCUUUCUAAACUUGAGGGUGGACCUGACUCACAUUUUCCAAGUACUAUGUAAGCUGUGGAGCCUAUGGUUUCUGUUCUGUUUUAUUUUGUUUUGCUUUAGGAAAGUUCUGUUCUACUACAAGCCCUUGGUUCUCUAACUCAAAUAUUGAGAAGAAAUAUCAAGAAUGAAUUGAGCUGCAACAGAAAGCACAGAAGCUGGCACCUUCCCAUUGCUCGUUACUUAAACAACACCGAGAGUCCAGAAGUGGUAUGUGGUGUUGUUAGUUGCAAAUUAGAGCAGCUGCUACCCAUGUUAUUUGCUGUAUCAAAGCAUUAAAUUCUAGCCAGAAGUCAGAAAAUUUUAAUUAGUAUACGAUUCCAGUUAUCACAUGAACUUUGGCAAAAACAGGCCUGUGCUACUCUAUGAUCAAGCCAGCAAUGCUUAAACAGUAAUUUAUAAGGAGAGCUGGCCAAAAUGGCCACCCAAAAAUCACCGCUCAUGCAGAAAAUGCCUUGUAGGAGAUGAGGGUAGUUGUCCAAUCCUAAAUAUUUACUGCUCCCUGUUGUAUUAGAUCCCUGAGGUGUGACUCCGCAGCUCACUGACACUUGGCCUUUCCCUACCCCAAGAAGUUCGUUCUCCAGUGGCUGCCCUCUGACGCCCUGCACCCUCCUCCCCAACCAGUUUGACCAGGCAGUACAAUCACCUCCAGUCUCCAGCCUGACCAACCUCAUUCAUUCAGUCACUGUUACAGUUACAGCCCCUGCGGUUCUGGCGACAAAGCUAUUAUUCUGUGAAAAAUCUGAGAGUGAAAACUUUGAUCCAAGUGCACACGGUGAAUUUCCACUCCCUCAGAUGAAAUAGCCUUGUAGGAUUAAUUCCCUCCCUUUUCUUGAGGUGCAAAGGGGAAAAAUAUAUUGCAACAUUUAGGAAAAUUGCUGGAGAUGGUAGCGAUUUUCCCUCAGCUUGAUCUCAAAUAUGUUUAUUUUACAUUUUAAGAGUGACCUCAUGUGCUUGCUCAUAGCGGUUUCAAUGCUUAGAGUGCUCUACCAUGGUUCAGAAAAGAGCUCAGUUUUUACCUCCAAACUCCAUUUUGAGAUGCUGGCUGUCUUACUUGUUGGCCCAAUUUUUAUACGGUGUCAGGUGCUGCACAUCUAAAAAAGAAGGCAGCAUUUCACCAAGUGAAAGGAGUUGUGCAGCUGGCACAGCUAGUGCAGAAAGAAAUUGCAGUAAUCUUAGUACCAUGCAGCUCUUAGACUACAGCUCCACUAGGAAUGUAUUGUUUUAAGGCACCUGACAUACAUUAAAACAGCGAGCGCUGAACCCAAAGCCUUAAACUAUCAGAAAAACAUUAUGAGAGAAUGUUUGGAGAUGUAACUGCCAUUGCUGAAUCAGUUUUUUUUUUUUCAAUUUGCUACAUUGAUCUAAUACUAUAUAGUUUCAAGUAUCAUUUAAGCCCUUCCUAAGUGUAAAGCCGUAUUAAAAACAUGACAACCC
ensembl:lncRNA